GCAUUUCCUUAUUGUUGUGAUGUGUAGUGCUGGCUUUCUUUAAGCGACAAAAGACAAACCAGAUGCAUGGGCCUAGCAUUGUCCCAGAGCUCCAGAGAUCUCAAAUCGUUGGCUGGGCAUGCCAAGUGUUAGGCACGUGAGACGAAGGCUCCUAACCCAUAUUUCAAAGUCAGUCAGCCAGUCGACGGGUUAGCCUAAUUGCAUGUUGAUUAUUGUGUACGUGUGCGUGUGAGUGAGUCACUCUCCCGCCUGUUCAGUCUUCUCCCCGGUCGACGAUUAUGCAAUUGGCAACGUGCAGAAAUUGUUGAAGAGUUUGUUGGGCUUUGCUUUUUGGUUCGCUUAGUUUGUUGGCCACAUUUGUAAGCCCAGCCAUGACUUUGCAUAAGAUUCAGUUUCGGUUUCAGUUUCAGUCUGUCAGACUUUAUAAUAUCGUUACCCGGUUGACAAUGCUCGUAUAUCUCUCUGUCAGGUUUAAGACGCACGUAAAUCGCAUAAUGCACGUUACGUUAUCACGUAACUACCAGCACCCGCACCCCCAUCCACCAGCCACCCAUGUACACUCGUCUUCUUCUAUUUGUCGAGUUUAUUGGCUUUGUCAAUUUUCGCUUGCUUGUCAUUAUUGUGCAUUAUUGAUUUUAAUGGCAAGACUAACCCCACCUUUAAAGCGUAUGUGGUAAUCCUCUCUAAUGUUUGCUCUUCAAAUUUUGUCUUUUACCCUUGAUGGGUAGCUGCCAAAAAAAUUAUUGUGUGCAUAUUUUAAGGCAGGUCUU